GGUCUACAAAGCUACACAGAGAA
rnacentral:piRNA from 1 species